UAGAGUCAAAGACUUUUAUAGGCAGAAGUGAGCAGGCAGAAGGAAGUUACACUAGGCAAAAAAGUAGGUUGGUUAUUGCAAGGUUGGUUUCCUUCCUUUA